CAUCUUACGUCAUCUAUGUUCUGGUUCACUUACAGAAUGCCAGCAAUACUAAAAACUAUCUCCCGCCAGAGAUAAAGUCCCUUUUCACUUCAGGAAAGCCCAAAGCCACCAACGUGCUUGGGGCGGUCAACAAGCCCCUGGCCUCAGCCGGGAAGCAAACCAAACUGAGCCGCAUGGAGACGGGGAGCAACGCCAGCAGCAACUCCAACCCUGGCUCCCCUGGACGGAGCAAAGGGAGGCCAAGGAUAACACACCCACCAAAGGCAGGAGAAGUGGCAAGAAGGCUGCUCCUCAAACUGACGAAGAGGAGGAAGAGGAGCAGGGAGAGGAGGAAGAGGAGGAUGAGGAUGAUGUCAGCAUAGAGAUUAUGGAGGUGAAAGGCACGGUGCAGAGAGGAGCCAAGACACCCCAGAGGUCGCAGCAGAGCUUUCUUUACACCAUCUUGGCCUGCGCUCCAGCCAAUCAGGCACUUGCCUUUAGUCUUACGUCAGGUCUUGGUUCGAGAGCAACGAAGUGUGAUGUUUCAUGAAAUCUUGAUGAGAACUGCUACUAUGCAGAAACACGAUUGCUCCAGGUUCAGCUCUGCGUUGCACAACUACUUCAACCGAAGUUCAGACAACAUGGAGUGAUAUCCUGAUGCCUCAGCAUUCUUGCUGACACUCUAGCAUCUACAGUGUUUAAUCUUCAAGCAAAUACAA